AUGGCUCAGAUUGAACGCUGGCGGCAUGCUUACACAUGCAAGUCGAACGGUAACGGGCCUUCGGGUGCCGACGAGUGGCGAACGGGUGAGUAAUGCAUCGGAACGUACCUUUCAGUGGGGGAUAACGUAGCGAAAGUUACGCUAAUACCGCAUAUUCUGUGAGCAGGAAAGCAGGGGAUCGCAAGACCUUGCGCUGAUUGAGCGGCCGAUGUCAGAUUAGCUAGUUGGUGAGGUAAAGGCUCACCAAGGCGACGAUCUGUAGCGGGUCUGAGAGGAUGAUCCGCCACACUGGAACUGAGACACGGUCCAGACUCCUACGGGAGGCAGCAGUGGGGAAUUUUGGACAAUGGGGGCAACCCUGAUCCAGCCAUGCCGCGUGAGUGAAGAAGGCCUUCGGGUUGUAAAGCUCUUUCGGCCGGGAAGAAAUCGCAUGGGUUAAUACCCUGUGCGGAUGACGGUACCGGCAUUAGAAGCACCGGCUAACUACGUG
rnacentral:rRNA from 1 species